GACGAACGCUGGCGGCGCGCUUAACACAUGCAAGUCGAACGGAAAGGCCUGCUUUCCCUCGUGGAUUGCGGGUACUCGAGUGGCGAACGGGUGAGUAACACGUGAGUGAUCUGCCCCCAACUUGGGUAUAAGCCUGGGAAACUGGGUCUAAUUCCCGAUAGGACUGCAGGGUGGUGCCCGUGGUGGAAAACGAUUUUCUAGUGGUUGGGGAUGAGCUCGCGGCCUAUCAGCUUGUUGGUGGGGUAAUGGCCUACCAAGGCGGCGACGGGUAGCCGGCCUGAGAGGGUGGACGGCCACAUUGGGACUGAGAUACGGCCCAGACUCCUACGGGAGGCAGCAGUGGGGAAUAUUGCACAAUGGGCGGAAGCCUGAUGCAGCGACGCCGCGUGGGGGAUGACGGCCUUCGGGUUGUAAACUCCUUUCGACCGCGAGGAAGCCACCUGGUUGGAAGGGUGGUGACGGUAGUGGUAGAAGAAGCACCGGCUAACUACGUG
rnacentral:rRNA from 1 species